UAUAUUAUAUAUAUAUAUAUAUAUAUAUAUAUAAUCCAAAUAUGAACAAAGAGAAGACACAACAACGUAAGGACGUUGAAUACGUACAGUGUUAUUGGACGCUCAGGAAAGGAAAGAAAGAAGGAGGA